AGAACGAACGCUGGCGGCAUGCCUAAUACAUGCAAGUCGAACGAACUCUUCGGAGUUAGUGGCGCACGGGUGCGUAACGCGUGGGAAUCUGCCCCUUGGUUCGGAAUAACAGUUGGAAACGACUGCUAAUACCGGAUGAUGACGAAAGUCCAAAGAUUUAUCGCCAAGGGAUGAGCCCGCGUAGGAUUAGCUAGUUGGUGAGGUAAAGGCUCACCAAGGCAACGAUCCUUAGCUGGUCUGAGAGGAUGAUCAGCCACACGUGGGACUGAGACACGGCCCAGACUCCUACGGGAGCAGCAGUAGG
rnacentral:rRNA from 1 species